rnacentral:rRNA from 1 species
GAUGAACGCUAGCGGCUGGCUUAAUACAUGCAAGUCGAGGGGCAGCAUGAUUGUAGCAAUACAAUUGAUGGCGACCGGCAAACGGGUGCGGAACACGUACACAACCUUCCAACAAGUGGGGGAUAGCCCAGAGAAAUUUGGAUUAAUACCCCGUAACAUAGCGAUGUGGCAUCACAUUGCUAUUAUAGAUUUUUCGCUUGUUGAUGGGUGUGCGGCUGAUUAGAUAGUUGGCGGGGUAACGGCCCACCAAGUCUACGAUCAGUAGCUGAUGUGAGAGCAUGAUCAGCCACACGGGCACGGAGACACGGGCCCGACUCCUACGGGAGGCAGCAGUAAGGAAUAUUGGACAAUGGACGCAAGUCUGAUCCAGCCAUGCCGCGUGAAGGAUUAAGGUCCUCUGGAUUGUAAACUUCUUUUAUAAGGGACGAAAAAAGGCUUUUCUAAGUCGUCUGACGGUACCUUAUGAAUAAGCACCGGCUAACUCCGUGCCAGCCGCCGCGGUAAUAC